CCGCGCCGCCAGGGGGCUCCAGGUGCUCUCGGAUGCCGCGUCCUGCAGACAGGUGAAGCGCUCUGAUUGGCUGGCGGGAGGCAUGAUGCCACCGGGCAGCUCUUUUUAAGAGAGAAGCCAGAACCGCGGAGCAGGACCCAGCGGUGCUCGGUGCUGAGCGGCGGCGGGACGGGCUCGGAGCUGAGGCCAACAUGAGCGAGCGACAAGGAACCGGGGCAACCAACGGAAAAGACAAGACAUCGGGAGAAAAUGACGGGGAGAAGAAAGUCCAGGAGGAGUUUGACAUCGACAUGGACGCGCCAGAGACAGAGCGCGCAGCUGUGGCCAUCCAGUCUCAGUUCAGAAAGUUCCAGAAGAAGAAGGCUGGGUCCCAGUCCUAGCGGGGCCCCUUCCCGGCCCGGCCGAGACACUGAGUCUUCCACUAACAGCAGUGCCGCACAGAGUCCGCACCCCGCGCUGCACCCCAAGAUGCAUGCACAGAGACCCGCAGCCUCCCAGGCGGGCGGAGCAGCUUAGUCUCCGUGUCCACCCCUCCCCGCGAUGACUGUCCCUGAUGUUGUAAUAAAAGGAGCUAAGACCGAGUCCAGUGUCGCCUUGGUCUGUCUUUACUUGAAUCUAGGAAGUUCCAGGGUAGCGGUGACUGCCAGCCAGAGGUCUGCUUUCCUCUCCCCUUAGGAGUCAGGGAGCGAGCUCAGAGCCUCUGAGUUGCCUGCAGCUCUGCGCCUGUGAGGCGCCGAGGGCCAGGCGCUGGCCUCCUGAUGCUCCACACCCCCAGCUCCCCCCGUCACCUGCUGCUUGCUCCCUUAGGAGUCAGGGAGCGAGCUC
rnacentral:lncRNA from 1 species